AUUGAACGCUGGCGGCAGGCCUAACACAUGCAAGUCGAACGAGUGGCGGACGGGUGAGUAAUGUCUGGGAAACUGCCCGAUGGUGGGGGAUAACUACUGGAAACGGUAGCUAAUACCGCAUACCAUCGGAUGUGCCCAGAUGGGCUUAGAUAGUAGGUGGGGGAACGGCUCACCUAGGCCACGAUCCCUAGCUGGUCUGAGAGGAUGACCAGCCACACUGGAACGGAGACACGGUCCAGACUCCUACGGGAGGCAGCAGUGGGGAAUAGUGCACAAGGGACGCAAGCCUAAUGCAGCCCUGCCGCGUGUAUGAAGAAGGCCUGCGGGUUUUAAAGUACUUUCAGCGAGGAGGCGUUACUCGCAGAAGAAGCACCGGCUAACUCCGUGCCAGCCGCCGCGGUAAUUC
rnacentral:rRNA from 1 species